GAAAGCCUUUGGCUUAACCAAAGAAGUGCAUCGGAAACUGUCAGACUUGAGUGCAGAAGAGGACAGUGGAACUCCAUGUGUAGCGGUGGAAUGCGUAGAUAUAUGGAAGAACACCAGUGGCGAAGGCGGCUGUCUGGUCUGCAACUGACGCUCCGGCUCGAAAGCAUGGGUAGCGAACAGGAUUAGAUACCCUGGUAGUCCAUGCCGUAAACGAUGAGUGCUAGGUGUUGGAGGGUUUCCGCCCUUCAGUGCCGCAGCUAACGCAUUAAGCACUCCGCCUGGGGAGUACGACCGCAAGGUUGAAACUCAAAGGAAUUGACGGGGGCCCGCACAAGCGGUGGAGCAUGUGGUUUAAUUCGAAGCUACGCGAAGAACCUUACCAGGUCUUGACAUCUUGCGCCAACCCUAGAGAUAGGGCGUUUCCUUCGGGAACGCAAUGACAGGUGGUGCAUGGUCGUCGUCAGCUCGUGUCGUGAGAUGUUGGGUUAAGUCCCGCAACGAGCGCAACCCUUGUUACUAGUUGCCAGCAUUCAGUUGGGGCCUCUAGUGAGACUGCCGGUGACAAACCGGAGGAAGGUGGGGACGACGUCA
rnacentral:rRNA from 2 species